rnacentral:rRNA from 1 species
UACGUAGGGCGCAAGCGUUAUCCGGAAUUAUUGGGCGUAAAGAGCUCGUAGGCGGUUUGUCGCGUCUGCCGUGAAAGUCCGGGGCUCAACUCCGGAUCUGCGGUGGGUACGGGCAGACUAGAGUGAUGUAGGGGAGACUGGAAUUCCUGGUGUAGCGGUGAAAUGCGCAGAUAUCAGGAGGAACACCGAUGGCGAAGGCAGGUCUCUGGGCCAUUACUAACACUGAGAAGCGAAAGCAUGGGGAGCGAACAGG